rnacentral:rRNA from 1 species
UACGAAGGGGGGCUAGCGUUGCUCGGAAUUACUGGGCGUAAAGCGUACGUAGGCGGCUUGUUAAGUCGGAGGUGAAAUCCUGGAGCUCAACUCCAGAACUGCCUUCGAUACUGGCGAGCUUGAGUUCGGGAGAGGUGAGUGGAACUGCGAGUGUAGAGGUGAAAUUCGUAGAUAUUCGCAAGAACACCAGUGGCGAAGGCGGCUCACUGGCCCGAUACUGACGCUGAGGUGCGAAAGCGUGGGGGAGCAAACAGG